AUUGAACGCUGGCGGCAGGCCUAACACAUGCAAGUCGAACGAGUGGCGGACGGGUGAGGAAUGUCUGGGGAACUGCACGAUGGAGGGGGAUAACUACGGGAAACGGUAGCUAAUACAGCAUACCAUCGGAUGUGCCCAUAUGGGAUUAGCUAGUAGGUGGGGUAACGGCUCACCUAGGCGACGAUCCCUAGCUGGUCUGAGAGGCUGAUCAGCCACCCUGGAACUGAGACACGGUCCAGACUCCUACGGGAGGCACCAGUGUGGAAUAUUGCACAAUGGGCGCAAGUCUGAUGCAGCCAUGCCGCGCGUAUGAAGAAUGCCUUCGGGUUGUAAAGUACUUUCAGCGAGGAGGCGUUCUUCGCAGAAGAAGCACCGGCUAACUCCGUGCCAGCCGCCGCGGUAAUAC
rnacentral:rRNA from 1 species